rnacentral:rRNA from 1 species
GACGAACGCUGGCGGCGUGCUUAACACAUGCAAGUCGAACGGAAAGGCCCUGCUUUUGUGGGGUUCUCGAGUGGCGAACGGGUGAGUAACACGUGAGUAACCUGCCCUUGACUUUGGGAUAACUUCAGGAAACUGGGGCUAAUACCGGAUAGGAGCUCCUGCUGCAUGGUGGGGGUUGGAAAGUUUCGGCGGUUGGGGAUGGACUCGCGGCUUAUCAGCUUGUUGGUGGGGUAGUGGCUUACCAAGGCUUUGACGGGUAGCCGGCCUGAGAGGGUGACCGGCCACAUGGGGCCUGAGAUACGGCCCAGACGCGAACGGGAGGCAGCAGUGGGGAAUAUGGCACAAUGGGCGGAAGCCUGAUGCAGCAACGCCGCGUGCGGGAUGACGGCCUUCGGGUUGUAAACCGCUUUCGCCUGUGACGAAGCGUGAGUGACGGUAAUGGGUAAAGAAGCACCGGCUAACUACGUG